CUACGGGCGGCUGCAGUGGGGAAUAUUGCACAAUGGGCGCAAGCCUGAUGCAGCCAUGCCGCGUGUAUGAAGAAGGCCUUCGGGUUGUAAAGUACUUUCAGCGGGGAGGAAGGGAGUAAAGUUAAUACCUUUGCUCAUUGACGUUACCCGCAGAAGAAGCACCGGCUAGACUCCGUGCCAGCAGCCGCGGUAAUACGGAGGGUGCAAGCGUUAAUCGGAAUUACUGGGCGUAAAGCGCACGCAGGCGGUUUGUUAAGUCAGAUGUGAAAUCCCCGGGCUCAACCUGGGAACUGCAUCUGAUACUGGCAAGCUUGAGUCUCGUAGAGGGGGGUAGAAUUCCAGGUGUAGCGGUGAGAUGCGUAGAGAUCUGGAGGAAUACCGGUGGCGAAGGCGGCCCCCUGGACGAAGACUGACGCUCAGGUGCGAAAGCGUGGGGAGCAAACAGGAUUAGAUACCCCGGUAGUC
rnacentral:rRNA from 1 species